CUAAUACCGCAUAAUGCAGCGAGAUCGCAUGUUCUUGCUGUCAAAGAUUUAUCGCUCCGAGAUGAGCUCGCGGCCGAUUAGGUAGUUGGUGAGGUAAUGGCUCACCAAGCCGACGAUCGGUAGCCGGACUGAGAGGUUGACCGGCCACAUUGGGACUGAGAUACGGCCCAGACUCCUACGGGAGGCAGCAGUGGGGAAUAUUGCGCAAUGNGGGGGAAACCCUGACGCAGCAACGCCGCGUGAAGGAUGAAGGUUUUCGGAUCGUAAACUUAUGUCUUCGGGGACGAGAACGGACGCUACCCGAGGAGGAAGCCACGGCUAACUACGUG
rnacentral:rRNA from 1 species